rnacentral:lncRNA from 1 species
GCCAGCGGACCCCUGGAACUAGGUAAUUUUUCCUGUGGUUAAGUUCGUGUUCAUACCAACCCCUAACUCACAUUUUCAGCACCUCAGCAAGGGACUAAGCUCUCCAAUACCGUGGAUCAAACCAGUAUCCUACGCGAUUUCAGAAACCUCUUCACGAGAAAAGAAAUUCACUGUUCACUUGAAUACAUUAGAUGGGAAAUCAAGUUAUUACUUUCACUGAACAACAACUCGAAAAUUACCAGGAUUGUACCUUUUUCACGCGGAAGAAAUUUUAAGGUAACUUUUUCUCUGACCAUCAUUUCUCUACAUUCAGGUAUAUUUUCAUUACUUGCAGUCUCGUUUGUAA